rnacentral:rRNA from 1 species
AUUGAACGCUGGCGGCAGGCCUAACACAUGCAAGUCGAACGAGUGGCGGACGGGUGAGUAAUGUCUGGGAAACUGCCCGAUGGCGGGGGAUAACUACUGGAAACGGUAGCUAAUCCCGCAUACCAUCGGAUGUGCCCAGAGUGGAUUAGCUAGUAGGUGGGGUAAUGGCUCACCUAGGCGACGAUCCCUAGCUGGUCUGCGAGGAUGACAGGCCACACUGGAACUGAGACACGGGCCAGACGCCUACGAGAGGCAGCAGUGGGGAAUAUGGCACAAUGGGUGCAAGCCUGAUGCAGCCAUGCCGCGUGUAGGAAGAAGGCCUUCGGGUUGUAAAGUACUUUCAUCGAGGAGGCGUUACUCGCAGAAGAAGCACCGGCUAACUCCGUGCCAGCAGCCGCGGUAAUAC